rnacentral:rRNA from 1 species
UACAGGGGGUGCAAACGUUGCUCGGAAUCAUUGGGCGUAAAGCGCGCGUAGGCGGCUACUUAAGUCGGAUGUGAAAGCCCCUGGCUCAACUGGGGAAGUGCACCCGAAACUGAGCAGCUUGAAUACAAAAGAGGGUCGCGGAAUUCCCGGUGUAGAGGUGAAAUUCGUAGAUAUCGGGAGGAACACCGGUGGCGAAGGCGGCGACCUGGGUUGAUAUUGACGCUGAGGCGCGAAAGCGUGGGGAGCAAACAGG